UAGGGAAUCUUCGGCAAUGGGGGCAACCCUGAGCGAGCAACGCCGCGUGAGUGAAGAAGGUUUUCGGAUCGUAAAGCUCUGUUGUAAGAGAAGAACGUGUGUGAGAGUGGAAAGUUCACACAGUGACGGUAACUUACCAGAAAGGGACGGCUAACUACGUGCCAGCAGCCGCGGUAAUACGUAGGUCCCGAGCGUUGUCCGGAUUUAUUGGGCGUAAAGCGAGCGCAGGCGGUUUAAUAAGUCUGAAGUUAAAGGCAGUGGCUUAACCAUUGUUCGCUUUGGAAACUGUUAAACUUGAGUGCAGAAGGGGAGAGUGGAAUUCCAUGUGUAGCGGUGAAAUGCGUAGAUAUAUGGAGGAACACCGGUGGCGAAAGCGGCUCUCUGGUCUGUAACUGACGCUGAGGCUCGAAAGCGUGGGGAGCAAACAGG
rnacentral:rRNA from 1 species